AUAUACAAGUUUAUACAUAAAUACAUAAAAGUAUAUGUGUAUAUGUAUAUAUGUAUACACAUAUAUGUGUAUAUGUUUAUACACAUAUACAUAUACAAAUACACAGGUGAACAAGUUGAGUAUAAUAAGGCGCUUGAGAGAACCAUGUCAAGGGAACUCGACAAAAUGAUCUCGUAACUUCGAGAUAAGGGGUGCUCUCCUAUCUUUUGAUUAGGAAAGCGGCACAUACCAAGGGGUAGUGAUUGUUUAUUAAAAACACAGGACUCUGCUAAGUGGUACCACGAUGUAUAGAGUCUGACACAUGCCCGGUGCUGGAAGGUCGAAAGGAGAAGUCUUAUAAGCUUUGAAUGGAAUCCCCGGUAAACGGCGGCAAUAACUCUAACUGUCCUAAGGUAGCAAAAUUCCUUAUCACAUAAGUAGCGACUUGCAUGAAUGGUGUAAUGACUGCCUCGCUGUCUCUGACAUGGACCCAAUGAAAUUGCAUUCUCCGUGAAGAUGCAAAUUACCAACGGCUAGAUGGUAAGACCCCAUGCACCUUAACUAUAGCUUCGCAGUGAAAACCUUGAUCAAAUGUGUAGGAUAGGUGGGAGGUGGUGACACAAAUCUCCCAAUUCUAAAAGACCACUCUUUCAUCUAAGGAUCCCUAACCGCCGCACCGAUCAUUCGGGGGGGGGGGGCACGGGACAUUUUGAGGUGGGUAGUUUAUCUAGGGCGGAUGCCUCCUAAAGAGUCACGGAGGUGUGCGAAGAUAUGCUCAAGCUAAGAUUAUGCUCGUGAGCAUAAUGGUAUAAGCUUGCCUACCUGUGAGAUAGACUGGUCGAACAGAGACGAAAGUCGGUCAUAGUGAUCCGGGAGUUCUGUAUGGAAGGGCUCUUGCUAAACAAAUCAAAGGUACGUCGGGGAUAACAGGCUUAUGACUCCCAAGAGCUCUUAUCAACGGAGUCGUUUGGCACCUCGAUGUCGACUCAUCACAUCAUGGGGUUGAAGCAGGUCCCAAGGGUUCGGUUAUUCACCGAUUAAAGUGGUACGUGAGUUAGGUUUAGAAUGUCGUGAGACAGUUCGGUUCCUAUCUACCGUUGGUGUUAAAGGGUCAACGACCAGGAGCCAACCCUAGUACGAGAGGACUGGGUUGGGCCAACCUAUGGUGAACCGAUUGUUAUGCCAAUAACAGCUCCGGGUAGCUAAGUUGGUAUGGAAGAACUACUGCGCCGCAGCUGAGCUGAGCUAUAGACUCACUCUCACAGCAACGAGAGGAGUUUACGUCAGUUUAAUUAGUCAUUGUUUUAAACGUUGAAAAUCCUUCUCUAUACAAGUUCUUGUACAAGGUUUUUUAACAGAACUUCGAUAAGCGAGAGGUGUAAGCACCGCGAGGUGUGAAGCGAUCUCGCACUAAACGAAACUACUUUCUCUU
rfam:Amborella trichopoda AMTR_V1.0_contig_28685, whole genome shotgun sequence.